UAAUUGAAGAGUUUGAUCAUGGCUCAGAUUGAACGCUGGCGGCAGGCUUAACACAUGCAAGUCGAGCGGUAGCACAAGGGAGCUUGCUCCCUGGGUGACGAGCGGCGGACGGGUGAGUAAUGUCUGGGAAACUGCCUGAUGGAGGGGGAUAACUACUGGAAACGGUAGCUAAUACCGCAUAACGUCGCAAGACCAAAGAGGGGG
rnacentral:rRNA from 1 species